UACGUAGGUGGCAAGCGUUGUCCGGAUUUACUGGGCGUAAAGAGCGCGCAGGCGGUCGUUCAAGUCGCGUGUGAAAGCCCCCGGCUCAACUGGGGAGGGUCACGCGAUACUGAUCGACUCGAAGGCAGGAGAGGGAAGUGGAAUUCCCGGUGUAGUGGUGAAAUGCGUAGAUAUCGGGAGGAACACCAGUAGCGAAGGCGGCUCGCUGGGCCGUUCCUGACGCUGAGACGCGAAAGCUAGGGGAGCGAACAGG
rnacentral:rRNA from 1 species